rnacentral:rRNA from 1 species
AGGGAAUCUUCCGCAAUGGGCGAAAGCCUGACGGAGCAACGCCGCGUGAGUGAUGAAGGUUUUCGGAUCGUAAAGCUCUGUUGCCAGGGAAGAACGUCGGGUAGAGUAACUGCUAUCCGAGUGACGGUACCUGAGAAGAAAGCCCCGGCUAACUACGUGCCAGCAGCCGCGGUAAUACGUAGGGGGCAAGCGUUGUCCGGAAUUAUUGGGCGUAAAGCGCGCGCAGGCGGCUGUUUAAGUCUGGUGUAUAAUCCUGGGGCUCAACUCCGGGUCGCACUGGAAACUGGAUGGCUUGAGUGCAGAAGAGGAGAGUGGAAUUCCACGUGUAGCGGUGAAAUGCGUAGAGAUUAGGAAGAAUACCAGUGGCGAAGGCGGCUUUCUGGACUGUAACUGACGCUGAGGCAUGAAAGCGUGGGGAGCAAAC